rnacentral:rRNA from 1 species
UACAGAGGUCUCAAGCGUUGUUCGGAUUCAUUGGGCGUAAAGGGUGCGUAGGUGGCGUCGUAAGUCGGGUGUGAAAUUUCGGAGCUUAACUCCGAAACUGCAUUCGAUACUGCGGUGCUUGAGGACUGGAGAGGAGACUGGAAUUUACGGUGUAGCAGUGAAAUGCUUAGAGAUGACAUAGAACACCCAUUGCGAAGGCAGCUAACUACGCGAUAAUUGACGCUGAUGCACGAAAGCGUGGGGAUCAAACAGG